UUAGCCUGGUCCUACCAGACUCUUGUACAUUUCAUUCGUACAGAGAGUCUGGCCACUCUCCAUAGGCCUAUGUCAUGCAACAAUUGAAGACCGGAAGAACGUCUCUGAGUGGGGAUACGGCUCUUCCGGUUAGCUUUUUACAAUGGCAGAGCCCAAUAGAUACCGCUGGACCAAGUCUCUCCGCAACCUGUCUGAAGUCACCUACAACUAUGUGGUUUCGGAUUGUAAAUGAACACUCUCAAGUAGAAACGUCAAAACUGAGGAAGGGAUACAAGUUCUUCUGGGAGAAGUUCAUUUUCAAUUACAGAGACGCAUCACUACAGCUUCACAGGGGAGAAAUGCAUGCCAACACUUCCGUUGUGCACCAGUGAGCUUCAGUCGUUGCACCAACCAAGGACACAAGAUUGUGUGUAUCCCUCAGGGGAUUCGCCGGAAACCCACGGACCAACUUGUGGUGAGGAAACCCAAGGCACCUGGAUGCAGUAGUGUCAAAUCAACACUGUAUUGAGCCUACGCAGAACCCCUUCCUGACUCUGCGGUUCUGUCUGUUUGAGAUGAACUGCGAGAACUUCAACCUCAACCUGGAAUAUGCAAGAUCGCAUGUGACCUGGCCGACCUAACUUUAGUGGACUCUAAGUUUUGGGCCAGUCCCUCAAGGUUCCGUUCUGUCUUAUUAGUGCCAAUCAGAAAGAUCCAAAGAAAUCAUUAAGCACCCAGAAGCCCCUUCAUUCCCACAACUCCCCUUGUUAGGCUAUACAUUUAAACGAUAACUACAGUUUGUUUCCAAUUACCUCCAGUUUUAUCACUUGCAGAGUUUAGAAGUCACCUCUGAAUUGGCUAGUUUAGGGCCUAAUUGAAUAACAUACAAGGGGGCAGUCAGAGAACCCUAUGUGGAAGGAUGUCCGGCAGCCCCGUUUAACUUCCGUAGAUUUGGUAAAGUGUUUACUCUGAGAGGGGAGUCCUCUGCUCAGGCUCUCGCAGUGAGGAUCAUGAAGGGGGUACGGUAAACACCUGCCAUGAAAAGGGUUAUCGACCUCAAGCCAGAAGUGUUAAAUCAGUGCAGUGACCUGUGUAAUGUCAAUGUCUUCCCUUCUGGAUUCAUUGUUCACUCUAAUGCGUUACCUCAGGGCUAGCCCUGAUGCAAGGGUGUAUGAGCCCAUUGCAUUAAGUUUGUUAAUGGUAAGGCCAAACAAACAAAAAACACACAAAUAUUACAGCCAAGUGCAAGGCUAGCCAUCACUGGUUUGUCAUGGUGUGAUUUCAUAACAUCAACAAAAAGUGACCUGACAGGAAAGAAUUUGGCAUGAUGAAUCCUUAAUUACUGUAAUGAAGGAUAAACUUCAUCUGUUUAA